rnacentral:lncRNA from 1 species
CUGCCACAACAACACAUACCACCAAUUGAAGGAAGACAGCCAAUCCAGACUCACUAUACUACCAGGAGGAAAGGCUAAGUCUGCUGGUCUGCAGAGACUGCAGCCACCCCUACCACUAGGGGUACAGGCCCAGGGAGCUCCAGGUCUAUCCCUGAGCCUCUGCCUGGAGCUACUGGAGUUCCUGCUGGGAAGCCCUGACCAAUGAAAAAGGAUGUGUCAGGAUCAGGCC